rnacentral:ribozyme from 1 species
UGCAGAGCGAAAAAGCCUACUAUCGCUGGAUAGCAGGUUCUUUUAAUGCAGGAAGACCGGUCGCUACCCCGG